AGACGACUGAUUCUUGCUCUCCAGCAACGUCUGCAACUUGGAGCCUCUUCAUCGCAAAAAUUUUUGCUCAAAGGCACUAAAAUGGUUAAUGUUGACAUAUAUUUCAACUAUGGAGGUGAAUGGAUUAGAGAGCCUAUUGUCUUGUACAAGAAG